AUUCAGUUCCUUGUCCAUCAGAUUAUUUAAUAGCAUAUUCAAACCCUUGUCCUUCAGAUAAUAUUUCUCUCCCCUUAUCUGCAAUUAUCGAAGUUUUUCUUUCUUCAUCUGUUAAAUUUGAUACUGCUUAACCUGUGGCAUUUACUAAUCUAUUUGUUAAUUCAUAUAACAAACAUUGGUUGGAUAGAUGAGUACAGAGUUGCUAAAAUUAUAUGAAAGAGAAUAAAAAGGAGAAGCUUUUGAAGUAAGACAUUUUAUACACUGUCCUAUAGUGAGUAUCUAAUGUCUAUUGGGUCGUCUUGGUUUUUUAGAAAUGGUUCAUGUUAUCUAAACCUUUGUUUGUUGAAUGAAUUUUUGGAUUGUAGUGAUGUAAAUCUUUUCUGUUUUGAGGCUUAGACCUAAAAGCAGGAAUUGAUUUGCAGUUGCUUAGUACUUAGAAUGAGAAACUUCUUGACUAUAUACUAAUUAUUUUAAUAUCUGAGAAGUUUGCCACCUUUUAUUGUAGUGUUCUGUUCAAUUUUUUAUCUUUUGCCUUUGCCCCUCCAGGCACUUGAUACAUUCAACACUGCUGUCGUAUCUCCCAUAUA
rnacentral:misc_RNA from 1 species